rnacentral:rRNA from 1 species
AUUGAACGCUGGCGGCAGGCCUAACACAUGCAAGUCGAGCGGAGCGGCGGACGGGUGAGUAAUGCCUAGGAAUCUGCAUGGUCGUGGGGGAUAACGUCCGGAAACGGGAGCUAAUACCGCAUACUAUCAGAUGGGCCUAGGUCGGAUUAGCUAGUUGGUGGGGUAAAGGCCUACCAAGGCGACGAUCCGUAACUGGUCUGAGGGGAGGAUCAGUCAACCUGGAACUGAGACACGGUCCAGACGCCUACGGGAGGGAGCAGUGGGGAAUUUUGCACAAUGGGCGAAAGCCUGAUCCAGCCAUGCCGCGGGUGGUAAGAAGGUCUUCGGAUUGUAAAGCACUUUAAGUUGGGAGGCGUGACCAUCAGAAUAAGCACCGGCUAACUUCGGGCCAGCAGCCGCGGUAAUAC